UUUCCUAGAGUCUCUGAAGCCACAGAUCUCUUAAGAACUUUCUGUCUCCAAACCGUGGCUGCUCGAUAAAUCAGACAGAACAGUUAAUCCUCAAUUUAAGCCUGAUCUAACCCUUAGAAACAGACUUUCCCAACCUCUGGUAACCACGAUGCUACUCUCUGCCUCCAUGAAAUCAACUUUUAUUUUAAGCUUCCACAUGUGAGUGAGAACAUCACAGGAAUUAAGGAUAACCUAGAUGACAUAAAGAGGAUAAUUAAAGCCAGAGAGCACAGAAAUAGGCUUCUAGCAGACAUCAGAGACUACAAGCCCUAUGCAGACUUGGUUUCAGAAAUUCGUAUUCUUUUGGUGGGUCCAAUUGGGUCUGGAAAGUCCAGUUUUUUCAAUUCAGUCAAGUCUAUUUUUCAUGGCCAUGUGACUGGCCAAGCCGUAGUGGGGUCUGAUAUCACCAGCAUAACCGAGCGGUAUAGGAUAUAUUCUGUUAAAGAUGGAAAAAAUGGAAAAUCUCUGCCAUUUAUGUUGUGUGACACUAUGGGGCUAGAUGGGGCAGAAGGAGCAGGACUGUGCAUGGAUGACAUUCCCCACAUCUUAAAAGGUUGUAUGCCAGACAGAUAUCAGUUUAAUUCCCGUAAACCAAUUACACCUGAGCAUUCUACUUUUAUCACCUCUCCAUCUCUGAAGGACAGGAUUCACUGUGUGGCUUAUGUCUUAGACAUCAACUCUAUUGACAAUCUCUCCUCUAAAAUGU
rnacentral:sRNA from 1 species